UCACGACAUGUUUACUCCUCCACCAGCUGGAGCGUUACCCGAUUCCAGUAAGGUGUGAGUAGUGCGCCCCUCCGUGAGUCCGCUCUGAAAACAGCACAGUCUCGUUUACAGAGCCAGUAGCAGCGGAAUCACAUUCUCCCUCUCAAGAUGUCAGUAGAACAGGUGGAAAUUUCCUUCAUCGUGUGGUCUUCUAGCUUUGUUAAGAGUUCAAGAUUGAUAGCGAGUGGUGGACAUGGAUCGAUUAUAACCGCUUCCAGGAGCUCAUGCAGGAAUAUGAAGACAGUGGCGGAUCAGCAACUUUCAGCGCAAAGGAUUAUGUGGCGAAAACUCCUCACUGGGCAUUAUUUGGUGCCUGUGAAAGAGGCUUUGAUCCCAAGGACACAAGAUAUCAGAGAAAGAACAAAUCAAAGGAUAUUUCCGGAUGUUAAGAUUCAUCUGACCAUAGGGUACUGAAGGACAAGAACUGAUGGCCCUGAAGGUUCUCACCCCCUGCUGUGAUUUUUCCAAGGACACAUUACACGAGUUCUAUUUCAUGUAGAGGGGAUGCAAGUCACGUCCCGGGGUUGCUUUCCAGAGCUUAGGCCCUCUCCUGAUUUGACUUCUUAGAGGACCACCGUUCCAGGGGAAGGACAUGGUCCUUAGAAUGGAACCGAGGGCUUUGAAUUAUAACUUGUGAAACUCGCUAGAAUGUUGUUCCUGGGGGUGUUGUGAGGAAUGAACUGGGUUCUUGGCCUUUGUGGAUUGUUCCUCCCCAAGAUAAGUGUAUCUACUCCCUCCAGGACCUCCAUCCCUUCUUUAUAUCUUAAGAUAACACCUCCCGGGACUCAUUCAAGUUGUCGUAAUUCUUGAUUAUUUUUAAAUACUGCAUAGAUUACAUUAAAUUUUUGCUUCGUACCA